UACGUAGGUGGCAAGCGUUGUCCGGAUUUACUGGGCGUAAAGGGCGUGCAGGCGGUUUGUUAAGUGCAGGGUGAAAGCUCCCGGCUCAACUGGGAGAGGUCCUUGCAUACUGGCGAACUCGAGGGAGGCAGAGGAAAGUGGAAUUCCCGGUGUAGUGGUGAUAUGCGUAGAUAUCUGGAGGAACACCGGUGGCGAAGGCGGCAUCCUGGACCAACACUGACGCUGAGGAGCGAAAGCGUGGGGAGCGAACAGG
rnacentral:rRNA from 1 species